UACGGGAGGCAGCAGUGGGGAAUAUUGCACAAUGGGCGCAAGCCUGAUGCAGCCAUGCCGCGUGUAUGAAAAAGGCCUUCGGGUUGUAAAGUACUUUCAGUCGUGAGGAAGGUGUUAAGGUUAAUAACCUUAGCAAUUGACGUUAGCGACAGAAGAAGCACCGGCUAACUCCGUGCCAGCAGCCGCGGUAAUACGGAGGGUGCGAGCGUUAAUCGGAAUUACUGGGCGUAAAGGGCACGCAGGCGGUUAAUUAAGUUGGAUGUGAAUCCCCGGGCUUAACCUGGGAAUGGCAUUCAAGACUGGUUAGCUAGAGUCUUGUAGAGGGGGGUAGAAUUCCAUGUGUAGCGGUGAAAUGCGUAGAGAUGUGGAGGAAUACCGGUGGCGAAGGCGGCCCCUGGACAAGACUGACGCUCAUGUGCGAAAGCGUGGGGAGCAAACGAGGGAUUAGAUACC
rnacentral:rRNA from 1 species